GACGUAGGGCGCGAGCGUUGUCCGGAUUUAUUGGGCGUAAAGAGCUCGUAGGCGGCUUGUCGCGUCGUUCGUGAAAACCUGCAGCUCAACUGCAGGCUUGCGGUCGAUAUGGGCAGGCUAGAGUUCGGUGAGGGGAGACUGGAAUUCCUGGUGUGAGCGGUGAAAUGCGUAGAUAUCUGGAGGAACACCGGUGGCGAAGGCGACAUCCUGGACCGGUAUUGACGCUGAGGCGCGAAAGCCAGGGGAGCAAAGCGGG
rnacentral:rRNA from 1 species